UACGUAGGGGGCUAGCGUUGUCCGGAUUUAUUGGGCGUAAAGAGCGUGUAGGCGGCCAGGUAGGUCUGCUGUGAAAACUCGAGGCUUAACCUCGAGAUGUCGGCGGAAACCAUCUGGCUAGAGUCCGGAAGAGGAGAGUGGAAUUCCUGGUGUAGCGGUGAAAUGCGUAGAGAUGUGGAGGAACACCUGUGGCGAAGGCGCCUUGCUGGCCGAUUUCUGACGCUGAGGCGCGAAAGCGUGGGGAGCAAACAGG
rnacentral:rRNA from 1 species